rnacentral:tRNA from 1 species
GUUUAACUAGUUUAUAUAGAAUAGUGAUUUGUGGAGUCACAGGAAGAAGAUGUAGUCAGUCUGUUAGGCU